rnacentral:lncRNA from 1 species
GCCUCCAUGUGAGAGGGGAUGAUGCAAGGCAAACAUCCUGGCCAGGCAGUGGGCCUGGGUGAGGGUCUCCCGGUGGGCCUUGCUGUGCUGCAGCCACAGAGGGCCAUGGGGUGUCAGGCUUAGUUCUGAGGUCUGGAAUUUUCUAUCUGGAAAGCCCUGCACUGCCUUCUCCCCUUCAUUCCCAAAGUGCUGGGAUUACUGAUGUGAGCCACUGCACCUGGCCUACUCCCCUUCCCUUCCCUU